rnacentral:lncRNA from 1 species
CUAAACUCAGCAAUAAUUAGCCCACGGGUGCGGUCAUCCACAUCCGCCCACCUCAUCCACGGGCUGGAGAAUCGGUUGCGGACGAUCCCAAGCAACGUGUUUCUUGGCGUCGCGUCAAGGAUACUAAAAUUAAAAUUAUUAAAUUUCCAAAUUACAAAGAAUAUAUAAGAACUAAAUAAUUAAUACAAACGUAAUGUAUAUAUUACCUAGUAGUCCCGACACGGCAUAUCAGCGGCGCCUGGGGGGGAUUCCCUAGCAAUCCACGUGCUAGUCCCAAAAUGGGGACUAUUUGAGAUUCACUCCUACUAAGUGAAUCUCAAACGGGUUUCUAAGUUUCCUAAACUAUAUGAAAAUAUGCAUAUGAAAGUAUAAUGAGCUGGUAAAUUUUUUAAACCCUCAAAUAGGAAAAAAA